AACGAACGCUGGCGGCAUGCCUAACACAUGCAAGUCGAACGAGACCUUCGGGUCUAGUGGCGCACGGGUGCGUAACGCGUGGGAACCUGCCCUUAGGUUCGGAAUAACUCCCCGAAAGGGGUGCUAAUACCGGAUAAUGUCUUCGGCCCAAAGAUUUAUCGCCUUUGGAUGUGCCCGCGUUGGAUUAGCUAGUUGGUAGGGUAAAAGCCUACCAAGGCGACGAUCCAUAGCUGGUCUGAGAGGAUGAUCAGCCACACUGGGACUGAGACACGGCCCAGACUCUUACGGGAGGGAGCAGUGGGGAAUAUUGGACAAUCGGCGAAAGCCUGAUCCAGCAAGGCCGCGUGAGUGAUGAAGGCCGUAGGGUUGUAAAGCUCUUUUACCCGGGAUGAUAAUGACAGUACCGGGAGAAUAAGCUACGGCUAACUCCGUG
rnacentral:rRNA from 1 species